AUCAUUUCUGGUCCAAGUCAAAAUAUCAAACUAAUCCGCAAAAUUAAUAUAUAAAAAAAACUUUUAAAAUUCUUAACAAGCAGAAACCGAAAAGUUAACUAAUGGAAAAAGAUAAUUCAGACAAAAUACACGUGGCUCAAGAAACCGAGAAUCGGAGGAUUCCGAGAUAGCACAACGCAAGGCAUCAUCAGCUUUAUACAAAUUUCAACAAAGGUUGCCUCAACAGACGGCCGCUUUCACAAUGGAGAUUGUUUCAAGUGGUUAGUAGUUUGUUUGGUUUAAGUGAGGUUUCGGUUUUGAGUCCCCGUGUAUGCAGUAAUAUUGAUUGAUAGCCUCACCUGUCAUUGUCAGGCAUGCGACUCGGGGCGAUCAUUAGUCGGGACAACCCGGAUACUGAGGCUGGCAACCUAAAAUAAUUAAAUUGUGAGCACAGGGGAAGAAAGGCUCCCCUGGUGCUGAAGGCUGGAGACGAAGACGAUGGUGACGAUCUGGCCAGACAAUGUCCUAUCCCGUUUUCCGUUCAUCUCCUGCCCUUUUUGUGUUAUCUGGGUCCUCUCAUUCUCUCUCCGAUCUUGUUCUACUUCUUUUUUCUUGUUCCCUCUCUCUCUGUUUUUCUCCAGACGAUCUGGCCAGACGGAAACAAACACGUUCUUGCUUCAAAUGUUUCUCCCUGUUCUUGCGUCUGUGUACUAGUUUUUCUUGAGAAGUGAACAGUGCGCAGAGGGAGGGAGCAGGCUCACCUGGGUCUUGAUGAACAGAUGCUUGGAUUAAGUUAAAACUAGGUUUCUGGCGGAGUAGUUGUUGCCUACAAAAUAGUGCUUAGCAGAUGAUUGUGCCCGAAAGCAUUCUCAAUCUUUUGAUUUUAUAUUUCUUACCACCGAUUGAUUUUGCUGAUUUGACUGAAAGCAUUCUCAAUCUUUUGAAAUUAUAUUUCUUUUACUCAGCAAAUAAUUGUGCCCUUGAUUUGACAAUAAUUAGUUGCGUGUAUUUAUUUUUUUAUUUUUUAUAAUAUGUUCCUUUGCAUAUUCA
rnacentral:lncRNA from 1 species